rnacentral:rRNA from 1 species
AACUUAAAUGGCCGUGGUAUUUUGACCGUGCUAAGGUAGCAUAAUCAUUAGUUUUUUAAUUGAAAACUGGAAUGAAAGGUUGCAUAAGAAAAUGACUGUCUCUAUUAAAUUUUAUUAGAAUUUUAUUUUUAAGUUAAAAAGCUUAAAUAAAAUUAAAAGACGAGAAGACCCUAUAGAGUUUAAUUGUUAAUUAAAAAUUAUAUUUUGGAAUUAAUUUAUAUAUUUUAUUUAACAAUUUAAUUGGGGUGAUUGAAAAAUUUAAUAAACUUUUUUUAUUUUUAAACAUAAAUUUAUGAGCAAGUGAUCCAAUAUUUUUGAUUAUAAGAUAAAAUUACCUUAGGGAUAACAGCGUAAUUUUUUUAUAAAGUUCAUAUUAAAAAAAAAGAUUGCGA